rnacentral:rRNA from 1 species
CGACCCGUUGGGUGUCGGUCUAAGGACCGUGCGGGCAGACCGCGCGGCGCCCUCAAGGGCGUCCGCUCGGACCGCCGGCUCCCGGCCCGCCCGACCCGACGGUACGACAGUGGCGCGGGGCCGCGACAACAAGUUCGCGUCCGGCCCGUCGCAAGUGCUUGCGGACAAUCCGGCUGUUCAUCGGACCUAGUGCCGACACCGGACCCGCUCGACUGCUGGCGGCGGUGUCCUCGGACAGACCCCGUCACACGCCGGUCGGCGACGCUAUAGCUUUGGGUACUUUCAGGACCCGUCUUGAAACACGGACCAAGGAGUCUAGCAUGCGCGCGAGUCAUUGGGACCGUUGCGAAACCCACAGGCGAAAUGAAAGUGAAGGCGCGCCUAGCGCGCGCCGAGGGCGGAUGCGACGGACGACAAGUGCCGACGCCGCACGCCCGGGGCGUCUCGCGCUCAUCGCGAGCUGAGGCGCACCCARAGCGUGCAUGCUGGGACCC